rnacentral:rRNA from 1 species
CACGUAGGGGCGAGCGUUGUCCGGAUUUAUUGGGCGUAAAGAGCUCGUAGGCGGCUUGGUAAGUCAGGUGUGAAACCUCCAGGCUCAACCUGGAGACGCCACUUGAUUACUGCCAUAGCUAGAGUCCGGUAGGGGAGCGUGGAAUUCUGGUGUAGCGGUGAAAUGCGCAGAUAUCAGGAGGAACACCUAUUGCGAAGGCAGCUCGCUGGGACGUAACUGACGCUGAGACGCGAAGCGUGGGGAGCAAACAGG